rnacentral:rRNA from 1 species
AGAACGAACGCUGGCGGCAUGCCUAAUACAUGCAAGUCGAACGAACUCUUCGGAGUUAGUGGCGCACGGGUGCGUAACGCGUGGGAAUCUGCCCCUUGGUUCGGAAUAACAGUUGGAAACGACUGCUAAUACCGGAUGAUGACGAAAGUCCAAAGAUUUAUCGCCAAGGGAUGAGCCCGCGUAGGAUUAGCUAGUUGGUGAGGUAAAGGCUCACCAAGGCAACGAUCCUUAGCUGGUCUGAGAGGAUGAUCAGCCACACUGGGACUGAGACACGGCCCAGACUCCUACGGGAGGCAGCAGUAGGGAAUAUGGACAAUGGGCGAAAGCCUGAUCCAGCAAUGCCGCGUGAGUGAUGAAGGCCUUAGGUUGUAAAGCACUUUCGGACGGAACGAAAUCGCGCGGUUAAUAGUCCGCGUGGAUGACGGUACCGUAAGAAGAAGCACCGGCUAACUACGUGCCAGCAGCCG